rnacentral:misc_RNA from 1 species
UCCUGCCCAGUGACACAGUUCAACGGCCGCGGUAUCCUAACCGUGCAAAGGUAGCAUAAUCACUUGCCCAUUAAUUGUGGGCUAGAAUGAACGGAUUAACGAAAUAAAUUCUGUCUCCAUAAGACACAUAAAAAUUAAUCUCUAACUGAAGAGUGUUAGAUUACUUCGGAGGACAAGAAGACCCUAUAGAGCUUCAUUUUUAAUAAGAUCAACCCUUAAUAAAAAAUUCGGUUGGGGCGACCAAGGAAUGCCUAAAUCAUCCUUAUUUUAAAGAUUAACUAAUCAACUUAAUGACCCUUAAUAAAGAGCAAAAAAACAAGCUACCUUAGGGAUAACAGGCUAAUCCUGCUAGAGAGUCCUUAUCAACAGCAGGGGUUGGCACCUCGAUGUUGGCUUAGGGAAACUACAUGGCGCAAAAGCCAUAUAAAGAUGGUUUGUUCAACCAAUAAAUCCCUACAUGAGCUGAGUUCAGACCGGCGCAAGCCAGGUUAGUUUCUAUCCCCGAUAAUACGUCUAUCUAUAGUACGAAAGGACCUAGAUAAGAAUAAUUAUUAUAUAUAAAGAACAAAUAUAAUAACAGAUAAACAAUAAAUAACAUAUACUAUAUAGUGAGUUGGCAGAAUAGUGCAAUCGAUUUAGGAUCGAUACAUGGAUAAGUCCACCCACUACAUGCAACUUAGUUUAUCUAGAAUUAUCAACUUGCACUUGAUAGGAGAGGUCUCUCAGUAGCGGCUUGACGUUUUGGAAACACUAGACCUUGAAUGUCUACUAAAGAUGUUCAACUCAUC